GGUCCUAAUGAAGAAUGUGAACCAGCCGGCUGAGGACCCGCACCCGAGUUCAGCCAGGCGGUAUCUCCAUCUUCUGGAGUUGUGCCAGGAGGCUGUGUGCCUAAUCUGCUCGGAAAUUGUUCCUUUCUGUCUGUCGCUGAAGCCUGAACACACUCCAGGAAUUAGGUUCCUGACAUGGACUUCACUAGACUAUCUGAACAAAAAUGCCUGGGAUUGUACAGGUGUGGUCACUGUACCUCUUCUACCACGAAAGCAUCCGUAGCAUGCAUGCACUUUGAAGUUAAAUAAAAAUCUAGAUUCCAGUCCUAACAA